UAAUCACUAAUGACCUCAUCUUCAAAUGGUCAGUGAUAAUAAACAAGAAGGAGGGAUUUCCAAGGGAGCAGAGCAUUAAUAAGGCUACUUGUGCAAGAAGCUACAAUGAGAAAAAAAAUAGCAAGAAAUAGAUGAGGGAAGGAGGUUCUGUAGAGGGAAAAACAAAGAGAGAAAAGGAGAAUGAAUUGUGCUGAGAAAGAGAUGCCUGGAUGAAGAAGCUGGCCCUAGCACCCAUAAAGCUGGAAAGAAAGUGGGGCCUUGGAAACUUCUGGAAGGAUGCGAGGAAAGAAAAAUGCAAGGAAAUGAGAUGGAGAGGAGAAAGAGAAACCAGGAAGCACUUCGGAAGCAUGUAAAUUACAAGGAAAUGAGGAACAGCCUUUAUUGAAACAGUCUGUGAAGUCUGUGCUAGCGCUGAGAGCUUCAUUUUACUGUCCUGGCAAGGAGGGUGUGGCCCCUCUCCAGUGCCCAGCACCUCAUCGCUGUGGUAACAGAAGACACGCUUAUCUUCCGGAUUUUGCCUCAGAGACUUGGGCUGUACAAGCUGCUUUCCUGGGGUGGCUUGUCCUUUUGCAGUUAACCGAGAUGCCUGGGGAGAAGAGCUUCCCCCAACAGGAUGGCAGGCGAUGCUUCCAGAUGCGGUCACUUGGCACGUCUGAGCCGAAUGUCUCCAUAAAAAUAUGAUGUAAUUAACAGAGCCGCAGCAGCUGGAACAAUUCAGCACCUCACAUUGAUUUUCCAUGUCUCCUAUUUACUUUCAGUUUUUAAACUGUCUGCAGUGACAGGAAAUCAAAGAAUUAUAAUGGUGUGUGUGAGGGCCCAAUGCUGGGUCGGCAUUUCCUUGUGAAAUCCUGAGAUUAAUCAGUUUCCUAUCACUCAAUCAUCCCUUUUCACUUCUAAAGGAAAACUGUCCUCCCAAAUGCUACGAAAUAGCAGUCUAUUUUUGGAUAUUAAAAAAAUCAAUUGUAUUAUUUUAAAAUUUGAGAGGAGUGUUUUUAAAAAAAGUCAGCCCGAAGCAAUAUUCACUUAUCUGUUUUCCCAUUCAAGUUUAAUAGGAGUUGGCAAAGGCAUUUGGGUGCAGUGAGACACAAGUACUAUAUUCACCCUUCCCAAGUUUUGAGAGCUUGGAAAAGUUACUUGGUGGAACCAAAGAGAGGAACUGCAUUCCAAGUUUUUUUGAUCACUGAAAUGAAGGAAAAUAAGUUUCCCCAUAUGUGGUUAUUCAUGAGCCUUCAUCUGAAGCUGGUGGUUUUCUCAUAGUUGGUCACUGUAUUUCCAGCUCUGUCAGGUGAAAGUCAGAAUCUUGGGUUAAUUUCACUUUGGGUUCCUUAAAAUGCUGGAGAAAAUAGGCAGCUGCGGUUGUAGUGGGGAAACAGGCCUCUGUCUGAAGUCAGCUUGCUCUAGAUUGUGUUUGAAAACAUGCCUCAGAUUUAAGUGGUCUUGCUUUUUUUCCAGACUCCCUUGCCUUGGCAGAUUCUGUGUCUUGGCCAUACUGUAAGAACUCACUUUUCUUUGUCUUUUUAUUGAUUCAAGCAAUAUAACCAUUUCAUAAAUAAUUAGGAAAAUAAAGAAGAAAAUUUCUCAUAAUUCUACUGCUCAAACGCAAUAGCUAUGAUUGCUUUGGAGCAAUUGCUUUGGGUCAUUUUCAAAUGCUGAGUUUUGGUAUGAUUCUAAGCAUAAUGUACAAACAACUUUACAUGUUGCUUUUUCACUUAAUCUAUGUCAGAAGCAUCUCCCCAAGUUAUGAUUAGCUUCAGUAAUUAUCUUUUUAAUUGCUGCCCAAACAGCUGGAACAAUUCAGUCCCUCUUAUUGACUUUCCAUGUGUCCUAUGGAAGUAGAGACAGUCUAUUAACUAUUUCUGUAUUUUGGGACAAUAGAUCAAAUUCAUUUUUCACUGUAAUUAAUCCCAUGAUAAGUAUCUUUAUAAAUAAGCCUUUUCUAUAUAUAAGAUAAUUUCUUUAGGAUAAAUUCCUAGAAAUUACAGGGUCAAAGUGGAUACAUAUUUUAUGACUCUUGAUAUUUCUUAUUGACCUUUAAAGCUAUUAUGUGACUUUAUAUUAUCACCUAAAAUGUUUGAGGAAUUCAUGCUUUACGAGCGUAUUUUAUUGACUAAAUAUGCAGUACUGAGAGAGCUUUAUGUGUGCAGUUUGAUGAUGCUGACAGAUAUCCCGGAGAUAAACAUUUUUUAAUUUAAAGAUGUUCUGUUUAUGUUUAACAUACAGAAGUUAAUGUUAAACAUGAUGCCUAUUUUGUUUAACAUACAGAAGUGACUGUAUUAAAGCCAUUUCUUCUAAAUGUGCAAUAAACUAUGAAUUCUUUGCCUGGU
rnacentral:lncRNA from 10 species